rnacentral:rRNA from 1 species
UACGAAGGGUGCAAGCGUUAAUCGGAAUUACUGGGCGUAAAGCGCGCGUAGGUGGUUCAGUAAGUUGGAUAUGAAAUCCCCGGGCUCAACCUGGGAACUGCAUCCAAAACUGCUGAGCUAGAGUACGGUAGAGGGUGGUGGAAUUUCCUGUGUAGCGGUGAAAUGCGUAGAUAUAGGAAGGAACACCAGUGGCGAAGGCGACCACCUGGACUGAUACUGACACUGAGGUGCGAAAGCGUGGGGAGCAAACAGG